rnacentral:rRNA from 1 species
ACUCUGGGAUAAGCCUGGGAAACUGGGUCUAAUACCGGAUACGACUAUCUGACGCAUGUCAUGGUGGUGGAAAGCUUUUGCGGUUUUGGAUGGACUCGCGGCCUAUCAGCUUGUUGGUGGGGUAAUGGCCUACCAAGGCGACGACGGGUAGCCGGCCUGAGAGGGUGACCGGCCACACUGGGACUGAGACACGGCCCAGACUCCUACGGGAGGCAGCAGUGGGGAAUAUUGCACAAUGGGCGAAAGCCUGAUGCAGCGACGCCGCGUGAGGGAUGACGGCCUUCGGGUUGUAAACCUCUUUCAGUAGGGAAGAAGCGAAAGUGACGGUACCUGCAGAAGAAGCGCCGGCUAACUACGUGCCAGCAGCCGCGGUAAUACGUAGGGCGCAAGCGUUAUCCGGAAUUAUUGGGCGUAAAGAGCUCGUAGGCGGUUUGUCGCGUCUGCUGUGAAAGACCGGGGCUCAACUCCGGUUCUGCAGUGGGUACGGGCAGACUAGAGUGCAGUAGGGGAGACUGGAAUUCCUGGUGUAGCGGUGAAAUGCGCAGAUAUCAGGAGGAACACCGAUGGCGAAGGCAGGUCUCUGGGCUGUAACUGACGCUGAGGAGCGAAAGCAUGGGGAGCGAACAGGAUUAGAUACCCUGGUAGUCCAUGCCGUAAACGUUGGGCACUAGGUGUGGGGGACAUUCCACGUUUUCCGCGCCGUAGCUAACGCAUUAAGUGCCCCGCCUGGGGAGUACGGCCGCAAGGCUAAAACUCAAAGGAAUUGACGGGGGCCCGCACAAGCGGCGGAGCAUGCGGAUUAAUUCGAUGCAACGCGAAGAACCUUACCAAGGCUUGACAUGAACCGGAAAGACCUGGAAACAGGUGCCCCGCUUGCGGUCGGUUUACAGGUGGUGCAUGGUUGUCGUCAGCUCGUGUCGUGAGAUGUUGGGUUAAGUCCCGCAACGAGCGCAACCCUCGUUCUAUGUUGCCAGCGCGUUAUGGCGGGGACUCAUAGGAGACUGCCGGGGUCAACUCGGAGGAAGGUGGGGACGACGUCAAAUCAUCAUGCCCCUUAUGUCUUGGGCUUCACGCAUGCUACAAUGGCCGGUACAAAGGGUUGCGAUACUGUGAGGUGGAGCUAAUCCCAAAAAGCCGGUCUCAGUUCGGAUUGGGGUCUGCAACUCGACCCCAUGAAGUCGGAGUCGCUAGUAAUCGCAGAUCAG